rnacentral:rRNA from 1 species
CCUACGGGAGGCAGCAGUGGGGAAUAUUGGACAAUGGGCGCAAGCCUGAUCCAGCCAUGCCGCGUGAGUGAUGAAGGCCCUAGGGUUGUAAAGCUCUUUCGCCAGGGACGAUAAUGACGGUACCUGGAUAAGAAGCCCCGGCUAACUUCGUGCCAGCAGCCGCGGUAAUACGAAGGGGGCUAGCGUUGUUCGGAAUCACUGGGCGUAAAGCGCACGUAGGCGGACUGUUAAGUCGGGGGUGAAAUCCUGGGGCUCAACCCCAGAACUGCCCUCGAUACUGGCGGUCUUGAGUGUGGGAGAGGUUGGUGGAACUCCGAGUGUAGAGGUGAAAUUCGUAGAUAUUCGGAAGAACACCAGUGGCGAAGGCGGCCAACUGGCCCAUUACUGACGCUGAGGUGCGAAAGCGUGGGGAGCAAACAGGAUUAGAUACCCUUGUAGUC